rnacentral:rRNA from 1 species
GACAGCAGCCGCCGCGGUAAUACGUAGGUGGCAAGCGUUGUCCGGAAUUAUUGGGCGUAAAGGGCUCGCAGGCGGUUUCUUAAGUCUGAUGUGAAAGCCCCCGGCUCAACCGGGGAGGGUCAUUGGAAAUUGGGAAACUUGAGUGCAGAAGAGGAGAGUGGAAUUCCACGUGUAGCGGUGAAAUGCGUAGAGAUGUGGAGGAACACCAGUGGCGAAGGCGACUCUCUGGUCUGUAACUGACGCUGAGGAGCGAAAGCGUGGGGAGCGAACAGAAUUAGAUACCCCUGUAGUCCCUGUCUCUUAUAC